UGGGGAAUCUUGCACAAUGGAGGAAACUCUGAUGCAGCGACGCCGCGUGAGCGAUGAAGCCCUUCGGGGUGUAAAGCUCUUUCGACGGGAACGAUAAUGACGGUACCCGAAGAAGAAGCUGCGGCUAACUACGUGCCAGCAGCCGCGGUAAUACGUAGGCAGCGAGCGUUGUUCGGAGUUACUGGGCGUAAAGGGUGUGUAGGCGGCUCUCCAAGUUUGGUGUGAAAUCUCCCGGCUCAACCGGGAGGGUGCGCCGAAAACUGGAAGGCUAGAGUGCGGGAUGGGAGAGUGGAAUUCCUGGUGUAGCGGUGAAAUGCGUAGAUAUCAGGAGGAACACCGGUGGUGUAGACGGCUCUCUGGACCGUAACUGACGCUGAGACACGAAAGCGUGGGUAGCAAACAGGAUUAGAUACCCUGGUAGUCCACGCCCUAAACGAUGCAUAUUUGGUGUAGGUCAUUCAGUUGAUCUGUGCCGGAGCUAACGCGUUAAAUAUGCCGCCUGGGGAAUACAGUCGCAAGGCUG
rnacentral:rRNA from 1 species